GCCUGCUUAGUGAGAUGGAGAACCUGUGCCUCUCCAGGUGCUGUUAGACUCGGCUGGAAAACUCUAUUCCAAAAUGUAGAGAAGUCUGGAUUUCACAGAAUAGGUAUGUUGCCGUGACAACCCCCCCCCCCCCCGAGCAAGGCCUGAGCCAAAAAGGGGAACAAACUGGACAAGACAAUGUUCUGGAAUUUAAACACUGACCACAACCUUUAUUGAUUCCAGAUGUAAGUUGGACUUGGCUUAGGCACUGGGUGUAUAUCCCUCACAGCCGCCCUGAUGGAGGGCUGUGGUGUGACAGGGUGAAGCCCAGGAUUAAUGGGUCAUUCACAAGUCACAGGUCUACCCGAAUGACCCUCCCAAGCAGCUGAAGGAAGCUAUAUGGCCCAUCUGCCACACACCUUGUCUUUUAGAAAGAGGCUUCCUACUAACCCUCUAACAAGGUACCCUGUCAUCGCAUGGUUCUGGGGUGGGGGUGAUGCACCACUUCAUCCCCUGCAUGUUGUUAGACUGGAAGGAUUCCAACGUCUUAUCUGCCAGAGUUGUGACUAUUGCAUGGGGAAAGCAAAACCUCCAAAUGGGGCCAAUCUGUUUGGAGGAAAAAUUCCUUCCCGGCUCUGAAAAUGGCAACCAUUAUUGAACCACAGAAAAGCCCAUGAAUGCAGCGCCCUAAAAGGGAAAAGGUUAGCCUACAUAAUCCCACUGUGUCAUUGAAUGGGGGUAUAGGGAGGGUUGUUCUUUGGCUGACAGCACUCCAUGGGGUCGGCUGCAGCCAGCCUUUAUUGGGUCCCACGCCCCUCCCACCUGGGCCAGCCGGAUUGGCCAGGAUUCAAGUAAGUCGAUGGCGGGGAAUUUCCCACAACUGGCCACCUCACCCUGGCAAUGCUUCCAAGGAGGAGGAGCCCAGCACAACAGGUUGCAACAGCCAGCCACCCUGUGACCAGGUAAGCAGCCAUUUCUGUUUGCACAUUGUAUCAGAAAAUGCAAAUCCUGUAGAUUCACCUUUAAAUGUGAACCAAAUCAAAUUUCUCCCUCAUCCCUAAAUGUAAGUUGGACAGUGGGGCUUUGGCACCAUACAAGACAAGACAACCAUGUUGCUCAACUUUCUUUUGGGGCAGGGGUGUCAAGGGGUUCACUGAAUAUGUUUCCAGGAACAUUGGGAAGUACGCUCAGAAUCUUUCCUUUUAAGGAAGCUUUUGGUUUCUAAAUGGUUGUCUUUUCUGCACAAUAAAAUCACUGGAUUUACAAUGAAGGUUGAAUAAGGAGAGUAGGGAGAGAUGUACGCUAUUUAGCAGAGCUAUGGAGUCUACAUAAGAAAGUCUGAAAAGGGCAGGAUCGAAGCCUCAGGCCAAAUCUAAGUGAGCGGUUGCAACUUGUGAUGCCUCGUUUUCUAGACCCCUCUUUGGCCUUUCCAUUCCUGUCAAAGAUUGUCUAGGUAAGAAGGAGUCUGAUCUCUCUCAUUCUGCCGUUUCCCAUCCUUGCCUUUGUGUAUUUAUAUUUGUCAUCAACCUUUCUAUCCUGUUUUUCCUUUAACAAAAAUCCAGCAAAUCCAAUCAAAGUGUUUCAGUCAUCUUCAAACAGAGAACAUUUACUGCAGUUGAUAUCAGCUCAUGUCAAAGAAAAUUAAAAUCUGCUGAUUAGCUGGGGGAAAAGUGAAACAGAACACAUAGAAGAUAUUUUAGUUUUUCUUUAGAAUUUGUAAUCUUUUACAGCAAAUGGAGAAAGGAAACCAAAUUUCACAGUGACCCGAUACACAAUUAGAUCUUCAGCAGCAAAUGUAUCCAGGUUACUGAACAUCUGCAGAGUAGAAGGAGGACAGUUUGAGCGAGUAAAACAGGGGUUAUGGAGGGUUUUUAAAAAUCACAACUGCGUCUACUCACUUUAUCUUUUUUUUCUGUGUUCAACAUAAAACACACACAUAAGAAAAACACCAGCUAAAUCAUUAAAACAGACUAAAAAUUGCACAAUUCAAUCAGUUAAAUAAAUUGAUAUCUCUCUCUCUCUCUCUAUAUAUAUAUAUAAGUGUGUAUGUGUGUGUUUGUGUAGCCUGUGUUGGUGCCAGGUGAAACUAUUUGGCAAAGGAUUUGAUGAUCCUGCACCCCAAUCCCAUUUUGCUUUUCUUGUUUUUUGUGUCAAGUUAGGAGAGGAGUGCAAGAAGGAAACGAUUUAAGCACGCAUGCAUGUCCAUGCACAUACCACCUGUCAUUCCUUUUCUAAACAGAGCGAAAGCGGCAGUCCAGGACCAUGCUUGCUGCUAAAUGGCUAAUCCCACUCUCAAAAGUCUUACAAGACAGGAAAUAACAAUCUAAAAAGUCAUGUAUUACCAGUCAACCAAGUGCUACCUGUUUGUCUGGCAUGCAUUAAGCAACUACAGUUUGAAGACUAUGUCUUUCCUUGAACUGCACAAACCUCUGCCUAAAUUUAUUAUGCAUAUAUUGCAUUAAUAGUGUAUAGUAAAUGUUAAAAUAAAUACUAGAGGUCUGAGUCAGCAAUUAGUGUUAGCCAGAGACACAGAAGGGAAUGAAGAAUCAAGCUGUUCCAGCACAAGUCCUUAGACAUGGCAAGAAUUUCAAUGAGAGCAUUGAAAAUAAUGUAUGAAGCAUCACCAACCAGCUACUAACUUUAAAAAAACCUUUCAAAUACAUUAUCUCAGUAAUCAUAAUACUUCUGCCCACUGGAUCCCCACUGGAAAGGGGAAAGGAAGCUGAGGCUAAGAAAGCAGUUUGCAUAAGAAGGUGCAGCAAGUUUGUAUUUGAUGAAAGAUUUGAACCAGGAACUUUGUUCCUCCUGCUUUGCUGCUGGGCUGCACCAGCUGGCAUCCUUAAAUUGCUCUACUUUUGACAAUCAGGUUCUGCCAGGAAAAAUAAAAUGUAAGAGCCUGACAUCUAUCUCAUAAUCUAGAAAUGGAGACCCUGUGGCUCCCCGGAUGCUGCUGUGGCUAAUGGUCAGAGGUGGUGGGACUUGUAAUUCAACAACAUCAGGUGGGAAGUGAGACUUUGCACUGGCCAUCAGGCAAUGGCUUUUCCCACUUGUCUUGCCCCCCUCCAGCCCCAGGAACCUUCAGAAAGGAGUUGCUGCCACUGGCAUUAUGAUGUCUUUGAUGAACUGAAGAGAGUGGGAAAUUAUGAGUCAUGCAGGUGGGGAGACUGUGUAUAAAUUCACCAGUACUUAUAGAUUAUUUUUUAUUGCUAUUUUGUUGAUGUUGUUAAUAUUGUUUUAUAGAUUAUGAAUCCUGUAAAAUGAUUUAUUCUUUUGUAAUUGUGCUGUUUAUCUUAUUUUUGUGAUUGUUUUGUUAAUAGUGGUUUAUAGAAUUUAAUUGUUUCACUGAUAAUCUGUAAUUGUUUUACUGAUGAUUUGUUAUUUAUUCUAUAUGCUUAAAGUUGUAAUUGUGAUGUUCUGUUAUGUUAUUGUUAUUUAUUGUAUGGAAACCGCUUUGUGUUUUUGGGAAUGAAAAGCAGCAUAGAAAUAUAUCAUAUCAUCUUGAGCUUUCUUGAAAGAUCUCUAAGAACCCAACUAGAGAUAUUUCCAAGACCUGCUGUCAGAGGUCCUAUCUUGGAGAUGCUUUACCUACUGAGCCAUGAACCAAACUUUUAAACUGCAGGACCAGGCAUUGGACUCCCCAUACCCCAACCCAUAUAAAUAAGAGACCAAUAUGACUGGUUUUGGGUCAAAACAGGCCACAACUUUAUUGAAUACAGAUGGAAGAGGUUUGGCUUGGGCAUGGGGCAAUCUAAAUACUUCCAGCCCGCGCACCGGAAGUGACGCGGGGUCAGUCUAGGAUGACCCCCGCAGGUACCACCAUCUGGGGGAGUGCCUUCGGCCCUGGCCCCCCUGGGCAUGCAGACAUGACCAUUCCCCCUGGAUCCCUUUAACGGGAUACCCCAGCAUUUGGAGGGACAGGCGGAGACUGCAACCUCCCCUCCAUCCAAAACAAAGGAUUGCCCCAAUGCCCAAACAGUUGUGACAAUUGCUAUGAGAUAGGCAGAACCACUGGGUCAGAGCCAAUUAGCCUGGUGGGCAAAUUCCUAUCUGGCCCCAUAAAGAAUGGUGACCACCGGAGCCAUAGCAAAGUCAUUGACUAUCAGAGUAAACCAUGUGUGGGUGAGUGGGGAAACCCGGUGCAGGAACAAACAGGCUGCGCCCCAGGUGCUGGCUGCUUAAAUGGGCAAGGGGCAUUGCAAGGGAAUUCCUCCAUCGGCUCCACCCCUGGCACAGCCCAAGUCCCAGCCUGCAGCCCCGUUUGCCAAAGCAGGGUGCAGGCUAGGAUCCAGUUCCUGAUAGGCGGAGGGGGGUCAUGCCUAUCAGGAAGGGCACUGCAGUUUGAAUUCCCUCGCCGGGGCCCCAGUGAAGCCUCAUCCAUCCCGCAAUGCCGCCUCACCCAAAAAGGGCUGAGUGGACUUCUCAUAGCAAACGUUUUCAGCUUCUGCCUUCCUCAGUUGCUCUGAUAAAAGUGGUGCUGUUUCUAAGGUGAGAGUUAUAGACCUUUGAAGAUGGAUUGCUCAAAGUACCUUCAUUCACAGAAGCUAAGUGAUAAUAGUACUGUCCUCUAGGUUGAGACCAUGAGGACUUAGUGUAUCUAGUGUGUCCAUCCAUAAGUUAUCCCUUUCUGCUAAUAUAAUAUUGUUGGAAGAUAGAUUGAUAGAUAGAUAGAUAGAUAGUUUAUUAUGUUAUAUAUAUAUAUAUAUAUAUAUAUAUAUAUAUAUAUAUAUAUAUAUAGUGUGUGUGUGUGUGUUUGUAUAUACACCAAACACACACCUUUCAUAGUAAUGUCAUAGUACAGUACAUUUAAAGAGAGAGAGAAAAGAAGACUACAAAGUCCUUUUCUCAGGUAAAUAUUAACUUGUCCAACACAGAGAGAGGUGAACCCUCCCAUCUCUCACCUGGGAGCUUCCUUUCUUCUCCCACCCUCCCACCCUGGGAGAUCUUCCCUUCCCUGCCUGUCGUCAUGCAGAGUCCUUCAUCAAAUAAUAUUGUUGGAUCUGUUGGCAUCUCUAUAACAACUAUUUAUAAAUCCAGCAGGCUGUGGUUCUCAAAACAGUUUGUGAUUUUGACAAAAAGUGAAGCAGUCAAAACAAGUUUACCAAUCUGUUGCUAAACUUCUUUUGGUUGCUCCACUUUGUCAAAAUCACCAAUUUGUUUUUUCCUCAACAUGGGCAUAGGUCAGCUGUAAUUUUACAAAUGGAUAAAAUAUCCUUCUGGAUAUUUGCAUUCAGUGAUAUGGACCAGCAGGUCCUGUUUGAUGUACAGUGGUACCUCGGGUUACAUACGCUUCAGGUUACAGACUCCGCUAACCCAGAAAUAGUGCUUCAGGUUAAGAACUUUGCUUCAGGAUAAGAACAGAAAUCGUGCUCCAGCAGCGCGGCAGCAGCAGGAGGCCCCAUUAGCUAAAGUGGUGCUUCAGGUUAAGAACAGUUUCAGGUUAAGAACAGACCUCCGGAACGAAUUAAGUUCUUAACCUGAGGUACCACUGUAUCCUGUUGUUGCGGGUCCAAGCAUUGUGCUCCCCGGUCCCCAACCCACAGUGAAAUAAAGGAGUGGUUUGGAUCAUAGACUGGUUUGGAUCAAAACAGGCCACAACUUUCUUGAAUAUAGAUGGAAGAGGUUUGCUAAUCUGGGAUGCAGACUAGGAUCCAUCUUCUGGAUGCAGUUCCCUCAUUGGGGCCAUGGAAAAGCCUCUGCCGUCCGGCAACACUGCUGCACCACAAAGCGGACUUGUUAAAGGCACCCUCAUAUAUUUAUUGAGGAUAAAUAUUCCAAUGAAUUCACCAAUAUUUUCAGCCUCAUCUUUCAGCGAUCAGCAGCUUUGGGGGUGGAUAAUUUUGAGCAGAGAAGUGAUGGAUGAAAGAGAACCUUAACCCCUUUCCUGUCAACCACAUCUUCUCCAAAGUGGCUCAUGCCAAAGCAGGUUUUCCCUCGGAAAGAAAGCCCUCAGGCUUUUCUUAUGUUCAUAUUUAUGUAUUGCGCAAUUCUCAGCCCUACUGGAAAUCUUGGGACAUGCAUGUUUGAAAACAUCUUUGGAUUGCCAUCUUCACUACUUCAUUGCAGAUAAAAAUUCUCUUUUCUGCUUCUAAGUCUGAAGCCAACUAAAGUAAAUAUUUCACAUGCAGCUACUCUCUGAAGUGGCAUCAUUUUUCAGCCAUUUCAUCAUUAAAGGCUGAAGGGAAAAUCUGAGAGGAGAGAGAUGAACCUGACAGAUAAAGAUUGCACUGAACUGCCAAAUUACAGCAACAAGCAAAACUCAAAAGUGGUGGACUGGCAGUCAAGGCUUAUUCCUUUAUUUGCUGAAUAGAUUCCAUACAUUCCAGUGCAAAAGUAUUUAAGCUUUAUAUCUCUUUCAACCCUUCAAAAAGGAUCCUCAGUGCAUUUAUUUCAAUUAUAAUUGAGAAUGGAAAGCUAUAAUUUACACCUAUUAUUUGCUUCAUUGCAAUUUGAGGGUUGAAAACCUCAAAGCUUCCAAGGUUACCUGGAGCUUGUGCCAGAUUUUAGUCCAAGUGUCAGAAAGGUAAAUACAAGCAAGCAGUCACUUACCACCAUGCAGGUUAAACCACUUGGAAAAAUAAUAAUCUGUACCAUUCUGACAAUAACUUGACUGCUCUUCUACAUUUAGAAGCUUGUUCAGGACAACAGUAGUAUUUUACAUAGAAGGAGUUCUGCAGCAUCUUAAAAACUAAUAAGUUUAUUGUAAUAUAACCUUUUGCGCACAAAAGUCCACAUUGUCAUAUAUGCAUGUAGUUUACUCUCAGAUGGCAGGUGUGUGUGGACACCCACCCACAACAAUACAGAGAGGGAAAGAAGAUUGUAAACAAUGAAGCCAAAAGGCCAUGAAAUGUAUGGAAUAACCAUAGGCAGGUCACAUGCCAAUGCAAAGAUGAAAUAUAUAGGAUGAAAUCUGGGUCACCCACAAACAAGCUUCCAAAUAUCUAAGCCCAAAAGCAAAAUAUUAUAUUUGACACUUCAGUCAAGCAAACAGCAUGCAAGUGUCAGCACACAGAACUAUGUGAAGAUUCAGCCAACUGAAGAAUCCCUUGUAUUGUCAAAAAUGUGUUUUUAUGUAAAAUAUUACCUGCUGAUUUGAGAAAGCUGACUUAAUUCAGCCUUUUUUUUUAAAUCCAAACCAACCACAGAACUAUCACUGUAGGAAAACCCCCACCAAGAAUUCAAAUGGCAUUUACUAUGGCUUGGAGUCUGACUAGGGCUCUGCAAACAGACAGGGUCCUUCCAUUAAUGACUAGAACCAAGAUGCAGUGGGAAAUUGUACCAAAAGUAGGGGGGUGCCCUUCCCCUUGCAGCUGCCAGCACUGCAUCUCAUUCAUCUUCGGGAGAGUCCCCAAUCCUCCAGAGCACUUCUAAUGCCCUUGUAGAGCCCAGUUAGCAAGCUGAGACCUCAAGGCCACUUGACCACUGCUCUUGAAUGGACAGCUAAAAGCAAAAGAGAUAUGCAUAUAUUUCCAGUACACUCCCCCCUCCCCCCAAAAGGGACAAUGACACAGAUACAUUGUGGUUGUGACUGUGAUAAUGUGUAGCAGAGGAUGUGAGCAUAGGUGCAGGCUGUGCUUUGCUGACCUGAAAGUCUUGAGAUCUGCCUUAGGUCAUGAUAUUUACCUGGGCCCCACGUUUUGGCACCUAGAUAUCACUGGGAAUGGCCAUAAGUGUUAUGCUAGGUAGUUGGGGUUCAGUUAAUGAAAAGGAUUAUGUUACAGUGUUGGGGUUAGCCAAACUAAAUUGCUUUGUACUAAUAUCACUGGGGGCAACCUUCAAGAAUUACUUUCCUUGCUCUGUGGGCAAACAUGAACACUUCCUCUAGUUUUAGUUCAUAAGCUAAGCUCUACCUUAAGUUUCCUCUAGAUUCCAGAAAUCUUUUGAGUAACAUGAACUUUUGAGUUCAAAUAUAUAAAAGGAUGUCACAUAGAGGAGGGAGAAAGGUUGUUUUCUGCUGCUCCAGAGAAGCGGACACGGAGCAAUGGAUCCAAACUACAAGAAAGAAGAUUCCACCUAAACAUUAGGAAGAACUUCCUGACAGUAAGAGCUGUUCGACAGUGGAAUUUGCUGCCAAGGAGUGUGGUGGAGUCUCCUUCUUUGGAGGUCUUUAAGCAGAGGCUUGACAACCAUAUGUCAGGAGUGCUCUGAUGGUGUUUCCUGCUUGGCAGGGGGUUGGACUCGAUGGCCCUUGUGGUCUCUUCCAACUCUAUGAUUCUAUGAUUCUAUGAUUCUAUGAACAUUCCUCUUCAACUAGGCCUUGGGCUGAUUAAUAUUCUGCAGCCUUUUAAAUGUAUCUGUGAGAAGGGCGAGGUUAUUUUGUUGUUGUUUUGUUUUAAUCAUUUACUUCUUUUGAGCCUGUAUUUUAUUCUGUGAACUGCCCUGAGAUCUAUUGAUGAAAGGUGGUAGGUAAGGAAAGAAAAAAAUAAAUGGUGACAAGGGGGAAGGGGACAAUCAGUGAAAGCUAUCUCUCUCCUUUCCACUGAUACGAGCACCAUGUGAUCAGAACUCUACUCCGCAGAUACUCCUGCUCAUGGAGCUGACUCAAGCUUAUUUCUAUGGAACACCAAUGAAGAGAAAUAACAUGUUAGGGGAGAUAAAAAAAGAAACCCUGAAUUAUAUAGGCCAGCGGUUCCAAACUGGUGGUCCGCAGACCCCAGGGGGUCUGGAAAACCCACCCAGAGGGCACAGACCCACCAACUGUGUGAGACAUCCUGUUUGGGGGGAACACAUGGAAACGCACAAGAUCGCAACCACAUGCAUGUCUCAUGCAAGAUCGCAGCACCAAAAAAUGUGUGUUUUGGGGCACCAUGCUCUCACGUGAGUCAUGUAACUUGCACAGGAGCGCAGACUGGUUUUGUGCUGCUCAUUUUGGAGGGUAUACUGGCACCAUUCACAUAACAAAAACUACCACAGAGAUAUCAACAUAUUCAAAAUUAAGGGGUCCAUGGCUUGGCUUUCGAGUCUGCUAUAUUUAGCUAAUUGGGAACCACUGGUAUAGGCCAUUGAGUAGACUCAAUAGUCCAGCACGUACCUGGGAAAUAAUAGGUGAAGUAAACAUAUUAAUCAGUUGAAUGGAAAGACUUUCAGUCACAAGACAGAUAACAGUUCACUGAAGUACUCUCCAAGGCCUUUCCAGGUUUCCAUUUCUAGCCAUGUGCUGUGCUAGAGACCUAAAAAAAAAAGUUGUGGUGAGAUUGUAGUAAAAGAAAGGAACAUCAGUUCUUCUAUGCCCUUUUGCCACUUCUCAUAACUAACAGUUCAGUGAUUUAAAAUGUGAUGGAAGAUCCUGUUUCGGUUCCUUAUAACAGUUAAGGGAGAGAUCCUAUGCACAUAAAACUGGCAUGAAGCAAGCCACUGUAAGUUAAGCCUCUGUAAAGUUACACCAGGGCCAAACUUGGUUCAGCAGGAGGACUACUGAUGGCUGAGCUGGCCUCAGCCUGGCAGAGGGAAAACAAGGCUUUAAAAUAGUGUUUGAGUUACAGAACCCUGUUUGCCAUCUUAACUUAUGCCAGAUUCCUAGAUAAUGUGACUGAGCAGAACAGGUUUAGGAACCAGCCUAAAUCUGCUCCUCUACAGUUCUCCAGAACACUCCUUUUUCAGGGCUUAAGAUCCUCCAGGCUCAGCUCAGAAGGGGGGUGGAAUAUGCAGGAGAUCCACUGGAUCCUAACCUACUCAUACCAGUGGAUCUUGCUCCCUAAUCAUAUGACAUGAGAUGUUUCCCAGUUCUUCUUAAUUUUUAAUAAUAAUUUCUUAAUCUGUCAUCAAGCUAUCUUUUGAAAUUAGUAAAGUUCAAGCUUUUAGUCAGAACACUGCACACUUUGGGGGGGGGGGAUGGGAAAAAGUAUUUUGCGCCCUGCCCUCUCUCAUUGGGCAAAGGGGGGCUGGACCAAGGGAAAACUUGGAAAACCAGUUUUAAUUCAACGGAUACCACCCAAUGCCUACAAUUUAAUGCAAGAGAAGGCAACACAAAAAACAGCAAUGGAGCAGAGGAAUUAAAAUGCAAACAUCAUUAGACUUCCGGGUUGGCGCCUGUGGCAAUGGCGGAUUUCCUCCGGGAGGAAUCCGCUCCGUGGAAAACAGGGUCUGAACCGCCACGGCGAGGCGGAGACCCAUCAAAAACCACAGACGGGAGAAGCCUGUGGAUGUGGGAUUUGGCUGGCACCUUUGCGCCCCCCCUACUCGCGGGGAAACCCUGUUUUGGGGAUCCGGAGCGACGUGGGGUGAGUGGUGCGGUGCUUUGAAUCGACUGCUUCUUUCACGGAGUGAAGCCGCAUUGCUGUUGCCGGAGAGCACUGAUUUUUCCUGUGGACAAUUGGAUUUUAAACAACUGCCCAUGAAUAGAACGGAAAAUUGGAUUAAGAAAUUUUUUAAUUUGGCACUGAAGCGGGAAGGUCUAAACAGGAAGUCCGUCUUCCGCUUUUUGUAGAUAGAUUGAAGCAAAGACACGGCAAGCUAGAGUUUAGAAGGUCGUCUGUAAAGGACCAAAAUUUCAUCAUUUAAAAUUACUGAACCCCCCUUGGAAGCAGGAGAGGGGGGGGGACCUUUUUUAGACUGUUUAAACCUGCAGAAGAGAGAGUAAAGAAAGGCAAUUUUCCACCGUCUUGAACCUGGGAGCGGGGUGUCAGGACAGACGUUCUGGGGAAGUUCAUUGACUAUGGACAAACGUUUUUGACAGAUAGUUAAAAGAAGAGAAACAUAUUGAUUCCAUUGUUCCCUUCGCAUUUAAAAGGAACAAAAUAUUGAAAAAAUAUCCAAAAAGGAAAACUUUGUUGCUAGAUCUGCUUUUUUAAAAAAAGGAUGGAUACAAAAAGAAAUUGUUUCCCUAGAGGAAGCUUUUGAAACUGUUAUUAAAACCAAACUGGGGAGCUUUGCAGCUGUAAUAGAUUAAGAUCGUGGGACCAGACUUCGACCUUGAACAAGAAUGUACUAGGAGGCUCUGGUGUUUGCCUUUUGCAAGACAAGUGCUUUAUUGGAACAGUUACAUGAGAAGAUGGAUUUGAUGACUGUUGCGAUCGGAAAUUUUGGACAGACAGUGGGUACCUAUAUAGAACCCACUCAGGAAUUAAUCCAGGAAUGUGCUUUGACAGAUGAGAUGAAGGAGGAGGCUGUUGCUGGACCCCGGGUGGCACAGAUGGAGGGAGCUGUGGCCCAGCAGGAACCUGAGUUGUUGGAUUUGACGAAUGAACCUGGAAAAGUCAGAUUUGGCGAGAUGGAGUUCUGUUUGGCUUGGAGAUGGGGGGCUGGAUGGACCCCCCUAUGCAGGGAUGUUUUGAUUUUUCAAGUCUGGCUUUGGGCUGGGGGGAGCUCGGAGUUGUGGGGGCCCUUAACUUUGGAGGGGCCUUGAAACAUGCCUUCAAAUACCACGUGGAUUUCGGUGUUGACUAUGGAAAAGGGGCUGACCUGUUGAGAAGGGACAAAAAUAUUGUCAAGCUGGAGUCUCCCCGAGUGAAAGGAGCAGAAGACAAAGUAAAGUACAGGUAUAAAUAUGAAGAAGACCUGCGGAAGGGACAUGGAAGAGACUUAAGAGCCUCGGACAUAAGGUCACCAGGUUGAUGGACUAGAUGGAUGGGAUAGAAAGGACUGACAAAACCCGAGACCAGGAAGAAGAGACGAUGGAUGAAGAUUGGAAGAAAGUUUUAAAAAUUCUUUUAGAAAAGUAUCGUAAAAUUAAUGAGUAUUAGAAAAAUGUUGGAAUGAAAUUAUUGGGCUUUAGCAGAAAUGUUAAAAAGAAUUAUGUAAGAAUAUGUAAUGGUUAAGAGAAUUUGGUAUAAAUAAGAUUUAAGUUUUAAGUUUUAGGACUUUUUAUGGUAAGAUAAGGUUAAAAUAGAUUAAGGUAAUUUAAUGACAGAAUAUUGUGAAAGAUGGAAAGGAUUUGCUGAGAUAAUUAAUAACUAGAAUACAACAAAGGGAGGUGUGAGGAGGUCGAUGAAAUAAGGUACUGACAGAAGGAUCUGGGAAUAUUGGAUUUGUUUUUAAAUUUUUUGUUUAUUUUUGCUUUUUGAUUUUGAUGUAUUGUGUGUUUUGUUUUUUCUUUUUGACUUUGGUUUUUAUUGAUUUGUAUUGUUUAAUUGUUACUUUUAUCUACUUUUUUCUUUCCUUUUUUUCCUCUUGGUUCUUCCUUCUUAUUUCUUUGUAACCUUAAAAUUCUCAAUAAAUAUCAUUUAAAAAAUAAAUAAAUAAAUAAAAUGCAAACAUCAUUAAGCAUAGCUAGACAAGCAUUUGUUUGGAUUGGUUUAGGUGUAGUCAAUCCCCGAAGCAAAAGGAUUAAAUGAAGGACAUCUUAAAGUCACUUCUAGCUGCAUGUUUAAAGGAAUCCCCCUCUUGAGGUGAAGAUAAAUAGACCUUUGGCAAUGGCAAUUUCAGGAAAGAUUCAUGCUAUGGGUGGAAUUAAAUAAGAUAAAAAUCCCUUGCCUGAAAAGAGAAAAUAGUACGUUAAAUAACACGCACACACUUAGGGACAAGUCAUCUUCUUAUUGAUCUUUGCAAAAUUAUUUUGAUGUCUCAAGUUCUCAGGUGUUUUGCCUUGGCAAGGACUUUGGCUAGUGGUGCCAGAACUGACAGUUGUAGGGAAAACACUUGUCAUUUGAACUUGGAACUCUGGGGGCAUGCAAACUUCAAACUCCUCUGGUUUUCAUGCUUCCAGUUUACCCUUCUGUGAUAAACACAUGUACUUCUGAAGCAGGAAAUCUAUACAAUGGAAUGCAUUUGUCCUCUUCCUUUUUCUUUCUUUCUUUUUUAAAGCAGCAAACAGAAUCAAACUUACAGUUUCCAUCUCUAAUUGGAAUAGCACAGCUAACAUCUUGUAGAGGGGUACUUUGAAAACAUAGCAUUAAAAUUGAAGCAAAGGCAAUUAACAUCCAUGGUCAUCCUGAAACUCUUACCAUCUAGCUUCUUUGAAUUAUCCCAUCUUUCUUGUAACUUUUAGAGCAUCCUUGUAAAAUAAGCUAGUAUUAUUAAUCCUAUUUGAAGCUCAACAUCAAAAAAACGAAGAUCAUGGCCACUGGUCCCAUCACCUCCUGGCAAAUAGAAGGGGAGGAAAUGGAGGCAGUGAGAGAUUUUACUUUCUUGGGCUCUAUGAUCACUGCAGAUGGUGACAGCAGUCACAAAAUUAAAAGAUGCCUACUUCUUGGGAGAAAAGCAAUGACAAACCUAGACAGCAUCUUAAAAAGCAGAGACAUCACCUUGCCGACAAAGGUCCGUAUAGUUAAAGCUAUGGUUUUCCCAGUAGUGAUGUAUGGAAGUGAGAGAUGGACCACAAAGAAGGCUGAUCAUCGAAGAACUGAUGCUUUUGAAUUAUGGUGCUCUUGAGAGUCCCAUGGACUGCAAGAAGAUCAAACCUAUCCAUUCUUAAGGAAAUCAGCCCCGAGUGCUCACUGGAAGGACAGAUCCUGAAGCUGAGGCUCCAGGAAGAGAACUCCCUGGAAAAGACCCUGAUGUUGGGAAAGAUUGAGGGCACAAGUAGAAGGGGACAACAGAGGACGAGAUGGUUGGACAGUGUUCUCGAAGCUACGAAUAUGUUUGACCAAGCUGCAGGAGGCAAUGGAAGACAGGAGUGCCUGGAGUGCUCUGGUCCGUGGGGUCCAUGGGGUCACGAAGAGUUGGACACGACUAAACGACUAAACAACAACAAAAUUAAUCCCAUAGUGUGGAUUGUGUGGCACCUGACAGCAAGAGACAAAAACCUUUCAGAGACUCUGCCUAUUUCCGCUCUGUCUCAGUCAGCAUAGCUAAUCCAGCAUAGUAUUGAAGAAGCUUCUAAAAAAACCUUCAAAGAAGUUAGAGAAAGUAAAAAAGAAUGUGAAAAAACUAAAAAGGAGAUAGAAGAAUUCAGAAUAACACAAGAAGCCACUUGGGACGCUCUGGCAAUUUUGCAGAUGCAGACCAAGGAAAAACACUCAGACUACCUGGGGUCCCUGGGGCCCCAGAGGAAAAUACACAAACAAAGAUUAUUAAGGAACUGGCCACUUGGUUAGAUUUGGAGGAAGAAGAAAUAAUAUGAAACACGGAAAACAUAUUCAGAUUGAACUCUAAAAAAGCUAAAGCCAACAAAUGGUCGGGAGAUUGCCUAAUUACUUUUAUUUCUAAUAAAUUAAGAAAGAAGAUUUUGCAGGCAAGAGGUCAAAGAAAAUUUAAAAUUGAAGGAAAAGAGAUCAUAAUUUUAAAAGAAAUUCCUCCCCGCCUACUGAAAAAAAGAGAUAAAUUCCAGUUUCUGGCCAAAGCUCUUAAAGCGAAAUCAAUAUGUCAGACCACUUUUCAUAUAUGCAACAACUGCAGCCAGAAUUCUGGUAGCAAGGAAUUGGAAAAGUGAAAAAAUUACUAGAAUAACCAAAUGGCAGGUCCAAAUGAUAGAGUGUUCACAGUUGUCUAGGAUGACAGGGAAAAGUAGAGGAAACCCGACUCAGAAGGUACAUAAGGAAUGGAAAAUAUUUAAAGAAUAUUUGAAAAAAUAUUGUAAUAACAAAAAUCUCCUGGCAGAUUAUGACUGAUAUUUGUAAGAAGUAGGUGAUAAACAUUUAAGCAUUCUGGAUAAUAACUAGGAAAACAAAACAAUAGUCUGAUGCUGUGUGUAAAAUAAUCAGAAUAAGCGACAGUACAAUGGGAAGUCAAUUUUAUUUCUUCUUAAUCUUUUCUUUUCUUCUUUCUUUUUUCCUUUUUUUCGUUCUGUAAAUUAGUUAAUGGUGAUGUAUACAAUGUAUAGUUGUAUAUAGUUGUGUUCUGUAGUAUACUAUGGAGUGAUGUGGUUUGUUGUGGAAUUAAAUAUUGUUUGUCAAAUAAACUUUAAUUUUAAAGCAACAACAACAUAAUAACCAAUACAACUUCCUUUUGAACAACUUUGUAUUUAAACAAAGUCUGAGAUACACAGGAAAUUGAGCCUCCUAUAGAUAGAACUACAACCUUGCCAUACCAAUCUCAUUGGACAAUCGCAGAGAGCAUGCCGUAGUAGAGGAGGAAACAAGUUUGUUCCCUCUUCCUUGAUAUAUUUGAAGAUGGUUAUCAUAUCUUGAAGAGCAAAAAAGAGGACAGCCCAAGCCACUGCCAACCUGAGCAGGAUGGGCGUGUUGGCCCCCAAAGAGGACAUGUCUUGGAUUUCCCGGUUGUAAGGCAACCCCACAUUAGGGUUGCCUGUACAUUUUCCAAAAAAAACCAAAUGCAGCCACACAGGUUUUUGGUGCUCCUAGUUUGGGUUCCUGUAUAUUUUUUCCCUUGAUGGUCAAUAGCAAGCUUAGAAUGAUAGACUCACAGAACUGUAGAAUUGGAAGGGAUCAAGACCAUUGCACAAAAUAGUUGGGCACACACCUGUCUCCAUCAAGAUGCAGCCUGAGUCAAAAUUGCUGCCUCCCUUUAGGCACUUAAGCUGACACAUUCAUGCAUUUCUCACAUCACACCUGAUGAGGCUGCUUGAUUCUCUAAAAGGCUCAUAGCAGCACAGCAGAGGAUUGUGAGCCUCUUUUAGGUCUGUCUAGCACCAAGAGCCAUGUGCAGUGGUAGGAAGACAGUUGCAAAGCUGUGGGCAAGCAAGCAGCGGGAGUGGCCUGGGGUGCUUGUGGUGAUUCACACAUGCACACAAACUCUCUCUUACUCUCUCUCACAUUAAAAGUACCCUCCUUGUAUACUGUCCACAUCAUCAUAAUUGUACAAUGUGCGCUGGGGGUGGGGAGCAUCAGCUGCAUGGGGAGAAAAGCACACAAGGAUGACCUUCCCCACAUGCCCCCUCCCCAACACAGCCAUACUUCCCCACAGAGCCGUCUUUCCCAUAGGGCUUAGUGGUGCAUUGCGCCAGGGUGCCGGCCUCUCAGGGGCGCCCCAGAGAGUGGGGGAGCUGUGCAGCUUUGCCAGUGGCCUCCCCUUUCCCCGCAUGCCCGCCAGCUGCGCCCCGCCAACCAUAAGGCUGGCGGGCGUGCAGCUUCCCUCCCAAGCCUCCCAAGCCUCUGCGGGGAUCGCUCUCCUGCAGUGGCAUGGGGGAGAGUUGCACCCCCCCCCCCGGAUGUCUGGCAGUGUGCAGCUAUGGCCAUCCCAACACUAUACAUGGUAAUUUGUGGGCGCUGGGCUGAUCUUUGCACCCCGGCGCCACAUCUGCUAAAGACGGCCCUGCUUCCCCCAGUCUGCCAAGUGACAUUGGCAGCAAGAUUUGGCAGUGGGGGGAUUUGGCCACAGAGACAACUGGGACACUCAGGCAGGCUGCUCUGAAUUGCUUCUGCGGGCUGCGUGGGGCUCAGUUUUAAAGACUUGGUGAAAACAGGGCCACAUUCCAUCACUGAGCUGCUUCAGUAAGAAACAAAUUGCUUGUCAGUCAUUGCUUCACUCCAGUCAAAGGUAAUACCCCUUGUGUUCCAUUCAUUCCAUGACAGAAAAAAUACAGAAUUUACAAGAAGGAGCUGUAAUGCCGAAAGAGAAGAACAAUGGAAAGGUUUAAGUGUGAUUCUGCUCUCACCCACCGCCUUUCAUUGCACUUGAUUUUAAGUCAUAUUAUUACUAAACCAGUGUAGGAUUUUUCAACAAAAGAGCACAGCCCAGGCUUUACUUCCAUCUCUGGGAACCUGCAUUUUAGGAAAAACAUGUCUUUCAGGAGCAAGCAGUGAUUACCAAUUAGUUGCAUUAUCUUUUUGUCAGUGUUUCUCAACAGGUAGUGUCUAAAUAGGCAUAAAUGCAUCUCUAAAGAAUAAAGACAAAGGAAUAAACACAUAGGUAGAAAUGUAAUUUCACUGAUUAAGUACCUUUUACUCAAGAGCUUGCAGAGUAAGUGCCUGAUUGAAAAGCCUUCCUUCUGAUGUUAAUGGGCCAUUUGUCAAACAUUAUUAUAUAGUAAAUGAUGGCCACUGUGUAGACAAGUGCUUAGAAUUUACUUCUAAAUGCUGAUGCCCCUACCAAACACACACACAGAGUAAACACAUGGAAAUAUUGAGUCAAACCAUGAUAGUCCAGUGUUUGUGCUUUCAAAAGCAAAGGGGGGGGGGAGAGAUUUAACAUGUAUAAUUUCAAAAUGCAUAGUUAUGAAAACUAGUGACUGUUUAUCAACAAAAAAUAAAAAUAUUAAAAAAUCAAAACAAUUUAGCUAGAUGUCCUCCUAGGUUUCAUUAUACAGAGGGAAGGGAAAGCUGAGUGUAGUUAGUUGGGUACUCUGGACUUUCAGUUGAUUUCCAAAAGCUUAAGGAACAAUGAGUUGUAGCCAGGAUAUAUGUUGGGGAGACACACACCUGUCAUUAUCUUCUGUCUGGCUCUGUCUAGCAGAUUCAGGAAGAAAUGCAUCAACAACAGUUGUUUUAAAUUACUUUCUUUUGACCCCAAGUACUCAGAAAAUCUGUCAAAAUCUUCAGUCAUUUGAAAACUAGGAAGUUAAAUAUAAAAUUAACAUCAGGGAGUACCUUCCAUGAAGUUAACGAGUAUAUUUUGCAAAAUUGCAAAGAAUGGACCUUUUUUCAUCUUUUUUUUUUAAAAACCUAAACUAAAACAAGUUUACUUGGACUUGCUAAAAAACUUUUCAGCAGAUCCUUCUCAAAUUCCUCUUUUCUAUUGCAGUUUUUCUGUCCACACUCAGUAAGCAAAGCCCAUUGAGAUGCUCCCCUGUCAUCGUCAACCUUAGCCAUGUCUUUACUCUCUGCAAGGUACUGAAUGACUGCUCCAGGGUACAAGUCGUGCCUGGCUGAGCAAGAGAGGUGAGCAGAGCCUUUUUUGUGGCAGGGUAAAAGAUUUCUGCCUCUUUUACUAGAACCGGGCUGCCUGUGACAAGAAGAGUAAGUUCAUGGAAUCUACUAUUCAGUCAAAUUGCCGGUUGCGUCAUUAGAAUGUAUCACAACAUCAUCCAAGUGACCUCAGCAAGCAUUUCAAUUUCAAAUAUUCUGAUUAUUUCUACUUUCAGUUAAGUAUUUUUAUUUAUUUACUUGACUUUGGUGGACGUGCCCAAAGAUUAAGGCUUUCUGGGAGAUGAUAUAUAAUGAAUUAAAAAAGGUAUUUAAAUAUACCUUCUUGAAGAAACCAGAGGCCUUUCUCCUGGGCAUAGUCGGCCAAUCGGUGUUAAAAAAGGAUAGAACUUUCUUCAUGUAUGUUACAACAGCAGCAAGAAUACUCAUCGCAAAGUAUUGGAAGACACAAGAGCUACCCACACUGGAGGAAUGGCAGAUGAAAAUGAUGGACUACAUGGAAUUGGCGGAAAUGACUGGCAGAAUCCGCGACCAGGGAGAAGAGUCGGUGGAAGAAGAUUGGAAGAAAUUUAAAGAUUAUUUACAGAAAUAUUGCAAAAUUAAUGAAUGUUAGAGUGAUUUUGGAUUGAAAUUAAGUGGCUUCUAGCUGUAUAGGCUUUAAAGUUAUAAAUAGAUUAAGAUCAAGGAUUAGGAUUAAAAAGGUUAAAAGAAUGGAAAAUUGGUUUUUAAUAGGUAAAAAUUUAAUGUUAUAUUAUAUUAAGAUUAAGGACUGGGAUUAAAAAGGAGGGAAAGGAAUUGCUGGACUAACAAACUGAAUUGGAAUACAAAAGAGGGAGGUAUGAGGAGGUCCGGGAAACAAGUAAAUGUAAAAGUAGUGAUGAAAAGAUGGAAUUGUUUUUAACUGUUUUUUCUUUUUUCUUUUUGUAUUUUGUAUUGUGUACUUUUCUUUAUAUUCUUGAAUUUUUCUUUUUUGGUGAUGUGAUUUUUUCUUUGUGAAACGUUAAUAAAUAUCAUUUAAAAAAAAUAAAAAAUAAAAAAAAUAAAGGCAAGGUAAGGAGAACUUGCUCACAAGAGUCCUGUGCCUUGUGAGAAGGUUGAGUGUGUAGGUGCGCACUCAGGCUGCCCCACCCUCAAUGGUUAGCUGACACCUUCCCUGGAUUUCAUUGAUGCUCUCCUCUCAUCAGAAGGGAAGAGGAGAGGCAGCCCCACCCUCCCACCAUUUCAUCCUCCUCUUCCCCUUGUUGACUGUGAUGAAUGAGCAUCCCUACUGAGACGGUUCUGGAUUUGGCUCAGAUUUCAAAAUGUGUUACUUUAUUCGUUUCUUUUCUUUUUGUUGCUCAUCUUCUUAAAGGUUAAACAACAACACAUAUGCAACAGCAAAAUCCCCAACAACUAUGAUGCGGCACAGAAUUUAACCAUGUGAUACAACAUAUAAAAGAAAAAGAAAAAACAGACAGCAUCCAGAUUAUCCAAUACAAAAAUAAAUAAAUAUAGCACAAUAUCUGUUAGAAUGUAUUUUAGCACUAUUUUGCUAUUGUGCCAAAAUUUGUAACUUUCUUACAGUUCUCAAAUGUUUUUAAAAACCAAAUCAUUUUAUUCAAGCUGAGUGCAAAUUGGUCUAGGGUUUUCUGUUGCAGAUUUUGCUUUUGUCUAAAAUGUAACUUUUGAUUUAUUUUUUUAAAAAAAUCAGCAACAUGACAGAGACUUGUGAAAUAACUCAUUGUUUUUUGCAGCAUUCCUGUUUAAUUCAUGGUUUUGCCUGACAUAUGCUUAGUGAGAUACAGGUGUGAGAACUGCACUUAGAUGUAAUUUGACAUGCCCAUCAUUUCCAUUAUGCAGACCCAGUAAAAUCCAAUCUGUCAGUGCAUAUGUCCUAUAACUUGCUGGACUUUCAUCAAAGCAUAAGCAAGUAAGCUCAUCAUUCAAGGUGUUGCAGCUGAGUGAGUCAAAACACCGGGUGUCCAUUUCAUGGUAAUUAUUCAGCUCAUAUGUAGAGCUAACAUAUUGGCGUUAUUUAUCUUCGUUAGUUACAAAAAUUAUAGGCCACCUUUAUGAGAAAAAGUCAAUCAAGGUGUGUUAUACAGCAACAGAUAAAAGUACAACUCCAACUAUAAUAAAUCAAAUAGAAAUUAUUGUGAGAAGGAAUGAGAUUAUGAAUUGUAGCAUUCCUCCCAUGAUUUAAGGAAUCAGUUUCAAGAUAUUAAUAAAUGCCUUAAUGCAGUGGUUCUCAAAGGGUGUGACACGCCACACCGGUGUGGCAGGGGAGUGUGGCAAGUGUGGUGGAAAGAUUCAAGGACAAUCAAAUAAAUAUUUAAACAUUUCAUUGUAGGGUGGUAUAGCAUCAAUUGUUUGUUUGUUUGUUUGGCUAUACAACCAUUUCCACACCUCUCUUCAAGAGCAUUGGCUAUUCUUCUACAGUGUUCCAUGACAUAUUGUUGUGAACAGGGAUUUUCAACUCUGACAAAUAUGGAAGAUCAGAAAAGAGAAAGGCUUCUUUGUAUUGAUGAGAUUAGAGUUUGUUUGUCUCAAAUUAGACCUAAUAUGAUUGAGAUUACAUGGCAAAAGCAAGCUCACAACUUUCAUUGAAUUUGUAUACAUACUGUCAGGGGUUCAGGGAGAGAGGCACAGGGUAGGCAGGAGAUGGAGAGCGAUGGGGAUGAAUUCCAAGCCAGCGAGGAAGAGGAUGACAAUGACUCAAGAGAUUCCAUGAGUCUUUCCAGCGAAUCAGAGGAUUCCCAGAAGGGGGCGCCGGUGGUUAAGGCCAGGGGAGCCCCAGGGGGGACGUGUCAGGAGCAGGGGGCCAGCGGAGGAUCCCAAAGUGGCAGCUGGGCGUCAGGACCAGCCUCCCCACCAGAGUGCAGCGAAGGGGGUGGAGUUUCCAGUGUGUCAGAGGAAGCAGCUCCGGGAGCAGAGAAAGGAGGGAGGUCAGAGCAAGCCGCCCUUCCGGAAGGGGAGGGAGCAGUGAAGGGAGUAGUGUAACUGUCAAAAGGAAAGUUAGAGGUUUGGCGCGCGCGCCUAGUUCAAAUGUAGAGGCGCGCGGAAGUACAGGGAGCCCGGAGGAGGGGCCAGGUCCCAAAGCCCGCAGGAGGGGGGAAGAGCAGUCUGGGGAUUCAGCGUCAGAGGAAUCCAGGAGGGGCGAAACCCCAGCGGGCAGAAGGACCCUGCGGAAAAGGAAGGAGAGAAAGAGGUGGAGCAGCGCAAGCCUCUUAAAUUGGUGCAGGGGAGGGACGGAUUCAGAGGGGACUUCAGCGGUCUAAGCGUAAGAGACGUAAGGCUGCGCGCCUAGGAUGUCAAGCAAACAAUGAACUGCAAUAAACACCUUUGUAUAUAAGAAGACAUAGGCGUUGGUCUUUUGUGAGCUGAGACUUGAGGCAGCUUUGACAGUAAGUCCCCUCUCCUAAAAGAACCGCAAAAUUUUUUUUUGCAAAGCUCACGAAGUUUGGCAGCGAUGACUACUGAGGAGCAGAUAGCGUCCCUGCAAAACGCAGUCACCGAGCUCUCCACUGCCGUCGUGGUCUCUCAGAAGACGGUUGCCGAAGCAGAAGCGCGAUGCCAGGAUCUGCAAGCCAGGUGGGAUCGGGCGUGCAGAGAGGGGUUCCCGGGGUCCAGAUCAGAGGGAAUCGGACUCGGACGGAGGGGGGGCAAUUUAGUAGCCCACUUCGAUGGGAACCUGAAGCAUUAUCCCAAUUUCAGAGCAGACGUCGUAUACGCGCUGCAUUUGCUUCGAAAAGACUUCAAAGAUGAGGAGGAAAAAGUGGGUUUUAUUGUGUCCCAUCUGCAUGGGGAAGCAAGAACCUGGUUACGCAAUUUGUGGCGCGAAGAUGGUCUUGCACGCAGGGACUCUGAUGAAUUUCUCAAAGCCAUGGACGCUUGCUUCCAAUCUACUGUUGACGUUGAUGUGGCACGCCAGGAGAUGCAUGGAUUGCGGCAGGGCAAGGCUACAGUGCGUCAGUACCAUUCUCGCUUUUUUGCAUUGCUGAAUGUGCUGGGCUGGGAAAAGGACUCCCUGGCAGUGAGGGACUUGUUCUGGGAAGGGCUUCAUGGCUCAGUGAAAGAUGAGCUGGCUAGGGAGACAGACCUCAAACCCUAGCAGACGUCGUGCAGAGGGCACUCACGAUAGGGGUGCGCCACGAAGAACGCCCUUGGCACAGGGAGGAGGGGCGUCACGUCCGCCCACCAGCUAGAGCGCCUCCUUUUCCUUCCAGGGACCUGGAACGUUCAAACCUUUCGCCUGUGCCGGCAGCAGGGGAAGCGUUCCAAGGGGAGCGGUUUCAGGGAAACGAGAAUGCCUGGUUGGAGGGAGAGAUGCUGGGGCUCCGCCAGGCAAGUCAGUGAAGCAGUCCCCAGCGCUUUUGCAGCCUACAGACCCCUUACCACCCAAGCCAGUGGUGCAGCUCACUGCUACUCUCCAGCUAAUGGACUCACCCUGGAAGUCCCCAUUACGAUUGACUCAGGGAGCAACGCAGACUUCGUGGGGGUGCAGUUCGUCAAGCAGCAUCGCAUAGCGCUACUACCAGCCACGCUGCCUCUGAAUGUGGUCACUGUAGAUGGCAGGAAGUUGCUGGGUGGGCAAGUGGUACAACAGACGCCACCCAUGCUGCUGAAAAUUGGGAAUCAUCGCGAGGUCAUCAGUUUCAAUGUCACCCAACUGUCAGACACGCCCAUAGUGUUAGGCAUGAGUUGGCUGGAUAGACACAGCCCAUCAUUGGCGUGGUACCAGCGGCAGCUCACCUUUGGCUCGUCCUACUGCGCACAACAUUGCAUCCAGAUCGGCCAGGAGGAGGAGGGCCAGGAGGAAGGGCAACAGCUGCAUCUAGGCAUGGUGCAGGCAGUGCCCCACAAGUACAAGGGGUUUUUGGAGGUCUUCUGCGAGAAGGAAGCUGACCAAUUACCACCCCACCGGCCCUACGACUGUGCAAUUGACCUCUUACCAGGAGCGACGCUGCCGACUGCGAAGCUGUAUUCCAUGUCUGAAGAUGAGAUGCAGGAGCUCAGGGAGUUCAUAGAUCACAAUUUGAAGCGGGGAUUCAUCCGAGAAUCCAAGGCAGUGGGGGGCAGUCCUGUGUUUUUCGUGAAGAAGAAGGACACGCCCCAAAACGGCUCAUUGUGGACUAUAGGGCCAUAGACUCGAUGACAAAACCCAAGGCUUUCCCCAUGCCCAAGAUUGACGACCUGCUCGCGACGGUGAGGAAGGGGAGGAUCUUCACCAAGUUGGAUCUACGCGGAGCAUACAAUCUAAUACGCAUGAGGGAAGGUGACGAGUGGAAGACGGCCAUGUUCACGCCGCUGGGCACCUAUGAAUACAGAGUUAUGCCGUUUGGUCUCCAAGGUGGCUCCCACUGUUUUCAAGCAUUCAUGCACCACGUGCUAGCAGGACUCCUCUACAAGAAGUGCGUAUGUUUUCUCGACGAUAUUCUGAUCUUCUCGGAAUCGCAGGAGACUCACGAAAGAGACGUAAAGGAGGUCCUGCAGAGGCUACGGGAGCACAGACUCUACGCCAAGCUGGAGAAGUGCCAGUUCGACGUGGCGGAGGUGGAUUUCCUGGGCUACCGGCUGUCCGACAAGGGACUAGCCAUGGACAGCGCCAAGGUCCGCGCGGUGUUGGACUGGAAUAGCCCGCGCAAUCGGAAGGAGGUCCAGAGGUUCGUCGGCUUCGCCAACUUUUACCGCAAGUUCAUCAGGGGUUUCGCGAAAGAGACGGCAGCUAUCACGGACACCCUCAGUUCCAAGAAGAAAAAGUUCACCUGGACGGACCAGGCGGAGCAGUCCUUCAGGAGACUUAAGAGUCUCUUCGCGUCCGAAGACCAGCUGCUACACGUGAAUCCCGGCAGGCCCAUGCGGGUUGAGACUGACGCAUCUGACAGAGCAGUGGGGGCCGUCCUCUUGCAGGAAGAUUCGCAAGAGAACUGGAGGCCCUGCGCUUUCUAUUCCCGGAAGCUCAGCAAGUCGGAACAGAACUACACCAUCUGGGACAGGGAGUUGUUGGCCAUCCACGCGGCUUUCAAGGCGUGGCGGCACUUCCUCAUCGGAGCCAAGCACACCGUGCAGGUCCGCACGGACCACAAGAACCUAGAGUAUUGGCGCACGGCGAAGCUCCAGAGCCAGAGGCACAUGAGAUGGGCGGAGUUCUUUGCGGAUUUCGAUUUCCGGAUAGAGUAUAUCCCGGGAGACAACAACGUCAUAGCGGAUGCGCUCUCCAGGAAACCGCAGUAUCUUGAGGAAGCGGCACCAGUGGCAGCCAGGCACAUUUUUGCACCGCAAGCGUGGGCGUGCGCUUCUGCCGCCGUGGACCUGGACGCGGUACGACGCGCGCUACAGACGGAUCCGUUCGCACAAUCCAAGAUGGAGGAGGUGCGAAGAGGGACAGCAAAGGACGGCGAAUUCCAGAUACGCGACGGCCUGCUGACCCGCAAAGGUGCUCUCUACGUCCCGGGAGACGAUCUCCGCGCGAAGGUUUUACAGCAGUUACACGACGCCCCCAGCGCGGGUCACUUCGGCAAGGAAAAGACGGCGGACUUAGUAGCCAGAGACUUUUGGUGGCCCCAGAUGCGGGGAGAAGUCGCGGAUUACGUCGCCAGGUGUGACACUUGUCAGAGGUCCAAGCCAGUGCACAAGAAGCCAGCGGGAUUGCUGGAACCGUUGGAGACGCCACUGCAGCCGUGGGAAAGGGUGGCGCUGGACUUUGUCACUGAUCUGCCCAGUUCGCGGGGCAAGACGGCGGUGCUUGUGGUUGUAGAUCUGUUCACCAAGAUGGCGCACUUCAUUCCUUGCGCGAAGGUGGCAACAGCGGAACAGACCGCCAGGCUAUUCAUAGACCACGUGUUCCGGGUGCACGGCUUACCACGGUCCAUCCUGUCCGACCGGGGUCGCCAAUUCAUUUCCAGUUUCUGGCAGAAGCUCCUGGGCAUCCUGAAUGUCAAGAUCAACUUAGCGUCGGCGAGACACCCGCAAACCAACGGCCAAGCGGAGAGGGUCAACGCCAUCAUGCAGCAGUACCUGCGAUGUUACGCCAAUCAGAAGCCUGCAACUUGGGUGGACUACUUACCGAUGGCCGAGUUUGCCUACAACAACACGAAGCACGCGUCAACGGGGUGACACCGUUCUUCGCCAACAAUGGGCGACAUCCCAGAACCUUCCCGGCGUUGGAGACGACGCCGGGGGAGUCGCAGGGAGCGGAACAUUUAGCAGCAGAAUUGCAGGAGGUCCACGAGGAGCUACGACGGCACUUGGAACUAGCUAAACACGCCUACAAAGUGCAGGCAGACAGGCACAGGAGGGCAGGAGAAGACAUCCAGGUGGGGGACUGGGUAUGGUUAGCAGCCCAGGCGGUGCCGGCCAAGUCGUUAGCUAAGAAGAAGCUAGGACACAAACAGCUAGGGCCAUACCAAGUUGAGGGCAGGAUCAAUCCCGUAGCUUUUCGGUUGACCCUCCCAGAGGAUUCCCGAAUGCACCCGGUCUUUCAUAGGUCGGUGCUUACACCCUACAAGGCCCCACACAGAUUUCAGGAGCCAGGGACGGCACCAGACCCACGUAGAAAGUCACCAGGGGGGGGAAGUCACCGAGGACCCCGACACUCAACGAGGUCACGGAAAUUCUGGACUCGAGAUGGGGGGAGGGAGUGGAAUACCUCCUCGCCAGGGAAGGUACCCCGGCCAGCGCCAACAGUUGGGUGCCAGAUUAUGCUCUGGAGGAACCUUUUCUUAAGGACGAGUUCCAUGCACUCUUCCCACACAGGCCCAUGCCAGAGGAGUAUUUUGACGACUGGCUUUUACCCCCACACUUUCAGGCAGCACCUUCCGGGGGUUCUCCUCCGCAGAGGAGACCACGCCGCAAUCGAGCCCUCCAAGGGGAUCGUGCUCGGGGGUGGACACGGACCGCUCUUAUUGGUGGGACGAUCAACCAGAAGUGGGGUGGCGAAGGGGCCCUUGGCAAGCAGCUUCGCCUGAAGUAACAGGGGGAGGGAAGGGUUUGGAGGUGUUGGGGGAGGACCCACUGGAAGCAGAGGAGAUCGACGUCGACGAACUGUAUCCAGCAUCUACCCCCGCUACAACGAAGCUCCCGGAACCUGCGCCCGAGCAGCGGGAGGGGGAAGGGGGGCUUCGAGGGGGAUGGAUGUCAGGGGUUCAGGGAGAGAGGCACAGGGUAGGCAGGAGAUGGAGAGCGAUGGGGAGGAAUUCCAAGCCAGCGAGGAAGAGGAUGACAAUGACUCAAGAGAUUCCAUGAGUCUUUCCAGCGAAUCAGAGGAUUCCCAGAAGGGGGCGCCGGUGGUUAAGGCCAGGGGAGCCCCAGGGGGGACGUGUCAGGAGCAGGGGGCCAGCGGAGGAUCCCAAAGUGGCAGCUGGGCGUCAGGACCAGCCUCCCCACCAGAGUGCAGCGAAGGGGGUGGAGUUUCCAGUGUGUCAGAGGAAGCAGCUCCGGGAGCAGAGAAAGGAGGGAGGUCAGAGCAAGCCGCCCUUCCGGAAGGGGAGGGAGCAGUGAAGGGAGUAGUGUAACUGUCAAAAGGAAAGUUAGAGGUUUGGCGCGCGCGCCUAGUUCAAAUGUAGAGGCGCGCGGAAGUACAGGGAGCCCGGAGGAGGGGCCAGGUCCCAAAGCCCGCAGGAGCCGGGAAGAGGAGUCUGGGGAUUCAGCGUCAGAGGAAUCCAGGGGGGCGAAACCCCAGCGGGCAGAAGGACCCUGCGGAAAAGGAAGGAGAGAAAGAGGUGGAGCAGCGCAAGCCUCUUAAAUUGGUGCAGGGGAGGGACGGAUUCAGAGGGGACUUCAGCGGUCUAAGCGUAAGAGACGUAAGGCUGCGCGCCUAGGAUGUCAAGCAAACAAUGAACUGCAAUAAACACCUUUGUAUAUAAGAAGACAUAGGCGUUGGUCUUUUGUGAGCUGAGACUUGAGGCAGCUUUGACACAUACUUAAGGUAAAUAUGUAAGAGGCUCUUUUAUAACUGUAGUUGGGGAAUGAUUCAUGUUCUAUUCUAAAUUAUUUUUGCAUUGUUUUAUAUUUUCUGUCCCAUGAUAAUAUUAUAAAGUAGUUGUGUUCUGUUAUAAAUCAAGUACUGCUGGGAGUUGUUUCUUUCUGUUUUCCAAUGUAUUUCUUAGCAAAAAAAAAAUUUGGUGUGGUGCAAGCAAAUUUUUGACGCGGGUGGCGCUGUGGGUAAAACCUCAGCGCCUAGGACUUGCCGAUCGCAUGGUCGGCGGUUCGAAUCCCUGCGGCGGGGUGAGCUCCCGUUGUUCGGUCCCAGCGCCUGCCAACCUAGCAGUUCAAAAGCACCCCCGGGUGCAAGUAGAUGGCUUGCCAGAUGCAGCUUGUCACGCUGGCCACGUGACCCGGAAGUGUCUGCGGACAGCGCUGGCUCCCGGCCUAUAGAGUGAGAUGAGCACACAACCCUAGAGUCUGGCAAAACUGGCCCGUAGGGGCAGGGGUACCUUUACCUUUACCUUUAAGCAAAUUUUUAUUCUUAAAGUGUGGCCCAGAGAAAAAAGUUCAAGAACCACUGUUUUAAUGGCACUAGAGAUUACCUGUCGUAGGGUCCCAUUCAGUUAGAAUGCCCUGCCAUCAGAAUCAGAGCAGGUUCCAAAUCCCAAGAAUUAAAAUGCAGAGAGGGCCCAGAAGUCUUGUCUUAAGUACAUUCUGAAAGUAUUAAACUGGGGAAAAGCUGGUUCCCUCUCCUUCAUAGAACCAAUAAUUUAGAAUAUUCUCUGGGUAAUAAUUUGUUAGAUGUUAUACUGUCUGUUAAUUUUCAAAGUACCAUAAUACUGAAAGUUAGGAAUAAUGACCUAAAAUAUAUGGGCUGUGAAAUUGGAACAAAGAAAUAAAAUACAUCAAUUUGGCCAUGAAACUAAACACACUCAAGCAGAUCCUCAUAACAUAAUUUAAAAAACACACAGCAAGAACACAAGGACUGCUCAGUGAAAGCCAAAUCUCUGAUGGUGUCAGUCAGUGACACUAAAAACUAAGCACCUCCGAGAGUCUUGUUUAUUGGAAAAGGUUGCACACCCAAAAAAGUAGAAUUUUAUCUCCUUUUAGAGCAAUAAGUCCUGUCAAAUCAAGGUACUGUUCUACUCCUUUCUGAACCCUAUCCUGAAUACAUGUUAGUAAUUGUUCUCAGAUGAAGCAUGACCCCAGCUACUCAUGGAUAGGCAAUAUUAAAUCCCCACUAAUUCACACCUGAAGAAGUCAUCAAUGAACCUUUGUUAAUGAAAACUGAAUUCUACAGUCAUCUAUGUCUUCUUGACCCAGUACUAAUCCUUCUGGGUAACAGGGUUAGAGCUAGAAAUUCCUCUCUGCUCCCUUGGACACUUCUCUAAGAAAAAGGAAGUCUUCCUUCCCUCCCUCCUUCCUUCCUUCCUUGCUUCAUUUUUCAUACUUAUCACCCAUCUUUCACUGAAUGGUUCCAGCGCAGGCUUCAUAAGACAUCACAACUUAAGACAAUAUGCAAUUCGUUAAAAAUGUAAGUUAAAAUCAUAAACACAGACGCUCCAAUGUCCCUAUUUCCCAGGGACAGUCCUGAAUUUUCAUAAGCCAUCCUGGUUUCUGAUUUGAUUCCAGAAUGUCCAGCUUUUCCUUAGGACUUCCCUAUUUUCACCGGAGAAAUGUUGGAGGGUGUGUAAACAAAACCACAAGAGCGACCAUCAGCCUGCUCUUCUAAGAGCUUUGCUUGUGCCUGCGCCACCAAGAAGCCUGUUGAUCUUUCCCAGAUAGCUCUAAAGUGCAACUGUGAGCACAGAGGUACCAGGAGAAAAUAAAAAGUUGGCAUACCUAGUUGCAUUAUUUUUCUGGAUGUUUGAUAUAUCCUGUGGGGCUCAAAGCCCCAAAUGCCACCCAAAGAUAAAAUCAUUCACCUCUGUAACAACUUACACUCCGCAGUUGCAUUAAGCAGUGCUUUUGUCCAGUUUUCUAAUGUUCUUUUCACACUGCAGUAUCUGGCGCACUGUGGUGCUGUAGCUUUUUGACCAAUAUAGCACCACAUCACACUAAAUUUGGCGUGGUGUGACACAGCAAAAGAACGUUAUUAGACAAUGUCACAACUCCCCCAACCUUUCUGCAGAUGCAUGCUGGUAUACCACCCCAAAUUUCAUCACUUUGCCCCCAACAAUGUUCUGGGUAAAAAUUAAUUUCGGGUGCAAUUAACAUGGAAAUGAGCACUAAACUUGCACUAGAUUCCUGGAAAUGGCUUUUAUGCUGUGUGAAUGAACAGUUCAGGAAAUGUCGGGCAAACAGAAUAAAACUGCCAUGCGACUGCAGCCCUGCUUGAACAGAAGCUGUUUGUGGUAUACUUUGAAAAGCAGCAACCCUACAUUUUGUAUAGUUCUAUUGAAUUCAACCUGCAUGGGAAAGGAAGUGUCAUCAAUUCCCUAAUGCACUCUGCAUCCAACAUCUGCAUUCUUUUGCUCCUUCAUGCUUCAUGACAUAUAGAAUACAAAAGGCCCAUUGUGUUAUUUUAAUCUAAAAGCUACAUCCCAGUGUCAAUAAAAUUGCUGGUAAAUUUUUCAGCAACACUUUUUCCUAUCUUGCUUAUGCAAAAAGAAAAAAGAAAACAAUCUCACUUCAACAUCUAAAGUGUAUUGAGACAGCAUGCUUGAAAAUUCUGGCAGAAAUAAAUGUACUUUGAUUAAAUUAAUAUUCCAAUAAGUACUAUUUGCAAGUCUAUAAAAAGGACAACUGAAAUAGAGAUAGCAUUAUUCCUCUGGAUGUGUGUAUGUGUGGUACAUAUCUUUUGCAUUCUAUAGUUUCAGAGUGCUGUUCUAAAAACCCUAUAUGUCACUCUAUAUGUCAAUGAGUUUUUUAAUGUGUUGCAGCGUGCAAUGCAAUAGUCAUGGUCCAUUUGUCUGUUGGCAUCCUUAGGUUGCUAUUACUUCAAAAAGCUUCAUUUCUCCUGGCAUGAGUAGUCCUAGCUAGAGAAAACAGACAGCCCUCCAUCAAAGCUCAAUGCAAGUUCCAAGUCGUCUUUAUUUGAGUUUCUGAGUUGACUUGGCUGCAAAUAUGGUUAAGGAGGGCAUCUGCAAUUCAUGGGCAGCCAACCUGUGACACAAAGUUACAGGAGCAGGAGGCCUAAUGGCACAUGAUCAGGCUGCACAUCUCAGCCACCUGCCACUCACUCUCCACCACCUCCCCAUCUCAGUUUGGCAAAAGGACCCCAAGGCAUGGAAGGCAGGUACAUUAUGAGAGAGAUACCUAUGUGAUGUGCCAUGCAGUAGGGUGCCAACAUCUCAUACUCUGGAUCCACUGGUUGCACACCACUGUUAUAAAAAUCAUUUAUCCCGUCUUACUACUACUACUACUACUACUAAUAAUAAUAAUAAUAAUAAUAAUAAUUUAUUAUUUCUACCCUGCCCAUCUGGCUGGGUUUCCCCAGCCACUCUGGGCGGCUUUCAACAGAACAUUAAAAACAGAAUAAAACUUCAAACAUUAAAAACUCCCCUAAACAGGGCUGCCUUCAGAUGUCUUAUAAAAGUCAGAUAGUUGUUUAUUUCCUUGACAUCUGAUAGGAGGGUGCCACUAUCAAGAAGGCCCUCUGCCUGGUUCCCUGUAACCUCACUUCUUGCACUGAGGGAACCACCAGAAGGCCCUCAGCACUGGACCUCAGUGUCCGGGCAGAACGAUGGGGGUGGAGACGCUCCUUCAGGUAUACUGGGCUGAGGCCGUUUAGGGCUUUAAAGGUCAGCACUAACACUUUGAAUUGUGCUCGUAAACAUACUGGGAGCUAAUGUAGGUCUUUCAGGACCAGUGUUAUAUGGUCUUGGUGGCCACUCCCAGUCACCAGUCUAGCUGCCGCAUUCUGGAUUAGUUGCAACCAUCCCAUCCUAGUUGUCACGAGGAAAACUUCAGACAGCUCACUUGGCUAAUUGCUGAGUGAACCCAGACACGCAGAGAGCUUCUUUUCAGUACUUUUAUUAUUAGCAAAGAGAAAAACAUGGUGACCAUGGAAUGUACUCCCUCAAAGCUUGAGCUUUUGCCCAGAGUGCCCACCCCUCCCCCUCCCAACUAACGUCCUAGCUCUCAGACUCCUCCUGCUGUCUACGGUGGCUGCUAAGGGACUCCUUCUGUCUCUGUUUGGCAAAUUCUCCUCCCCACUCCCUGGACUUUAAUGCCUCUGGACAGUCAAUGUGCUCUUUGGGGGCGGGGGGAAUUAAAGCAUGACCUUUUGUUAAACGGAUGUGAAAACAAGAGCAUCCUCUCUUGUGAAUGAAUGGAAGCUCUGAACCAGUCUCCUCUGAUCUGCUCUCAUGUUCUCAGAAGCCACAUAACAAGCAGCACAGAGAGACUGUGAAUGGAACAGAACAACUGACAGCAGCUGCUCUGCUGUGACAGGACAAAUGAAUUGGUUGGCUUUAAAUGAAGAACCAGUCAAGGGAAAGUUAAUUUCUGGUAUAACACCACACAACAGUGAUACCUGUGAGUCACCUGAGUUUGAAAGCCUGUGCUGAACAGCUGUUCACUCAUAGUAUUCUGCCUAUCCUACUUAAUAAUAACAAACUGCAAGACGCUGACAUUGUUAUGACUGUCACCCAAGUACAUUCAAUUUAUAGAAGAUGAACAUCUUAAGUUUAUGUGCAGAAAGACUUCACCAAUCUGCAUUAUGCUUGUCAAAACAUAUAUGACCAAGGAAUCUAACCCCAAGCUGAAGUUGGGGAGAAAAGACAAGUUCACACACCCCUCGGCUAAGAGCCAGGGCAUUCUAAACUAAUCUGCUUUAGUGGUUGCAAGUUCAGAACAAAAGGUGGUAUGAGAAGAUAGCCCCUUGUGGCCCCAGAACCUUGGUUCAUCUCAGAGGACUGUAGCCUGGAAUAUGACCUAAUGUGUCCUGGGACAUAUCCCCCCACCCACCUUGACCCUUUUUGUCUCCAUGGAACUCUGCAUGGCACAAAACACAGGCAUCCUGGCUUUUAUAGCAGCAGAUGAGCAGAAGGAAUAGCAAACUGGCAACUUCCAAGAAGUGAGCCUCAAAUUGGAGGUCCAUAUCCAAGUUCUGAUAGCUGGACAUGGCAAGGGUAGCAAGCAGAUCAAGGAAGUAUCGAUAUCAAAGCUAGCUCCGCCUCUGCCUGGUAGGGCAGAAAAGAUGAGUCAUAAAAAGCCUUCCCAGAACAUCAAGAGGCAAAUGUUUUCUCUCAUCAGAUCACCUUUCAGUGAUCACAGUACUGUAUCUUUUUCACUCUGCACUAACAAAGACAGCUUCCAUUAGAUUUAAGGCCAUGAAGCUCUGGAGAGGGGUCUUUGAUGUCUGGUGUUCGAAGCCAAGAGAGACAGAGAAACUUGCAGGCAUGCAGACACCAUUCCUGCUUCUGGCUGCUUCUUAAGAACUCCUGCACAUCUCCCUCCCUCUAGGGACAUGGGGUUCCCCAGUUAUAACCAGAAAAAGGUAUAACAGCUGCUCAACGUGCCAGUAUCUCUUAUGCCGUCAUGAGCAAAGCAUAUCAUGAGCUGAAAGUGUGCAUAAAGGCUUGCAGACACAUGAACUACAGAAGAUUAUCCUUUUCAUACAUUAACUCCAAAUAUAGCAUGCUUUUAAUUUUCCAUUUUAGUCUGUAUCUAUAUCAUCUAUAGCUAUAACUAUAGAUAUAUAUAUAUAUUCAACAUGCAGCUAAUGCUCCUACAUAAUACAUCACAAAGGGGGAAAACUCAUCCCACUCUCUGCCAUUUCUAAAUACAUAAAUACGUAAGCCAGGCUAUUAAUACUUUGAAUUCUAUCAUAAACUCAGAAAGUGAUGGAGUGGGAAGUUGGGCUGCUUGCCUGUAAUGCAUAUUUUUAAAGAACAGAACAGAACUCUUCAUCAGAAUUCCCUUGGUUUAAAUUAUUUCAUAUAGAGAACAGGAGUGGGGAUGGGAAGAGGAACAUUUUGGGUCCAGUCUUGCAGCAGGAUUUUUCUACAACAGUGUCUUCUGUUUGUUAUGCAAGCUUUUCACUUGGGGCGCAAAGCUAAUGAGCAAAGACAGAAAAUGGGAGCACUAUCAUGUACAAUAAAUGUACUUCCAUGUAAAGAAUGGGAUAUUUGAAUGGAUCCUUACCGUAAACUUGAUUAAUGUUGUCACUGCCUGAAAAGUGCAUCCCCCCCACCACACAGAGGUGCAGCAUGGGGGGGCAGGGGGGCUGUGGCCCCAGGCACACAUUCUUGAUAGGGCACAGCCAGGUGCCCACACAACAGGCUCCUCCUGAGAGACAAGCUGUGCCCUUCGAGGCUGGGGCAAUAGUGGCGCCGGUGCCUCCUUUUCCUCAUGGCCAGCAAAGCCUCUGGGACGGCCAUGAGGGAGGGAGGGAGGGAGGGAGGGAGGGGAGGGCACCACACCUCAUGCUCUGCUUCACUGUCCAAUGACUCAUCCCCUAGCCCUGACACUAUCUCUACCUCUGUUCCUCCAGCUCCGGGGUCCCCAGGGGCUGUGCCCUAGCCCCAGCUGCACCCAGCCCUGCUGCCUCGACUCUGACCAUCUUCCCUGAGUACCACAGGCACAGAGAAGCAGAGGGAAGGUGUGCUAGCCCCAGGGCCAUCUUACCCAUAGGUGCUAGGGGUGUGGGGCACCCAGGCGCCAGGCUCUCAGGGGCACCAGGCCAAGAGUCUGGGGCCGAGAUUUGGAGUCCGGGGAUUGGGAAGAGCUGAUAGCCGCUGCCAAGCAGAGAAGAGCCUUUCAGAGUGCCGCAGCUCUUCUGCUGCGAGCAAGUAAAGCGCUGAGGCAGCCAGUCAGCUCCACCCUCCUGCGUGCCUGGGAUUGGCGGACCGUCGAGAGGCCCGCCCAGUGCACACUGCUCACACAAGUCACCCGGCUUCGCUCAGUCGCCACCGCCACCUCCUCGGGCUCAACUGUUGUUGCGCUGGGCUCUGCUUGCCCACCCCCAGGCGCCCAGGCACCCAGUUGCUCUGCUGCCACCGCCUCCCCCCACAAGCCCUUCCUGGAGCAAAGAUAGGGGAGGUGGUGGCAAUCAAAGUGAGGAGCUUUGGCUGCUCCAGUCACACCCCACCUGCCACCCCCAUCUUCCAUCACUGGCCUGCCUCUCUGCCUCUGCCAGCCAAUGAUGUGGCACACGUAUGGCCACGCAGGCUCACACUGUACCCACCCGACCUCCCAGCCUGGCUGCACAGCUGCCACUGAGGGACAGCGGGCAGGUGGGUGAUGCUGGGGUCCUACAGAUUCCUGAAAUAUGGCAACCCUAUCAAAUAUGUCAAGGGUCAUCAGUUGGAAGAUGGAGCAAGCUUGCUUUCUCCUGCUCUGGAGCGUAAGACUUGAACCAAAGGCUUCAAGUUACAAGCAGAUUCUGACUAAACAUCAGGAAGAACUUUCUGACAGUAAGAGCUGUUCAACCCUGGCAGGUAAAAAAGGUAAAGAUAAAGGACCCCUGGACGGUUGAGUCCAGUCAAAGGUGACUAUGGGGUGCAGUGUUCAUCUCGCUUCAGGCCGACAGAGCCGGUGUUUGUCCACAGACAGCUUUCCGGGUCAUGUGGCCAGCAUGAUUAAACUGCUUCUGGUGCAACGAACACUGUGACAGAAGACAAAGUGCAUGAAAACACUGUUUACCUUCCCGCUGCAGUGGUACCUAUUUAUCUACAUACUUGCUCAUACUUGAUUUUGAACUGCUAGAAUGGCAGAAGCUGGGACCCAGCAAUGAGAGGGAGCUCACCCUGCCGCGUGGAUUUGAGCCACUGACCUUCUGACUGGCAAACCCAAGAGGCUCAGUGGUUUAGACCACAGCAGAGGUUGGGUGGCCAUUUGUCACGGAUGCUUUAGCUAAGAUUCCAGCAUUGCAGGGGGUGGAUUAGAUGACCCUUGAGGUCCCUUCCUACUCUAUAAUUCUACAAUUCUAUGCCAUGCAAAACGUUAAGGAGAUAUUUUAAAAGAAAGUUGCUUACACAGCAGAAGUUUUCAUUUUCUCAUUUAUUUUUAGUAAAGCAUUUGCAUGCAGCUAGGUUUAUUGCUUUUAAGAGCUGUUCUUUUCUGGCUGCAUUGUCCUCAUUUCAAGGUAUGCGCUUAGGUUUUUUACAGUGAAAAUCCUUUAUACUCUCUUUCCAGUGUCGUCAGAAAGGAUUUGCAUUUCAAGUAAAAUAAACCUCCGGCACAUGUGGAAUUCUAGAUUGUUUCUGCGCAGAUGUUUAACAAUAAAAUCACACAAAAGAGAUGCAAUGUAAUAAAAAAAGAUUUCAAUACAACACACACUGUUGGCAGAGUCAAAUAUGAGAGUUUUGCAUCUUUAGUACUGAACUUUUUCCAUACAUAGAAUUAUACUUCCCUUUUCAGCCAAUCAGCAGGCAGGCUUGGAUUCACUUCCCAGCUGGCGAGGUGAGUGUUAUGCCUCCAUGCCCGCUGGGCUGCCCCAGAAACUAGAGGCAGCAUUAGAUCAUGGUGGGAGAGGCAGUGCCAGCCCACAAUGCCACGGAGCCAGGUAAAGGUAAGCGGACUUCUCUUUUCAGUUGUAAAUGGGGAGAAUAAUUGCUUUCAGGUACCCACCCAAUAUACAAGUUAACAUUUGUAAAGCCAAGUUAUCUGCAAAAGGUAGGAAUGUCAAACUUUAAGCUUCACCCUUCCUACCAUUGUCCGCAUUCUUCUACCCACCCAGCAUUUGUCCAAAAAUUUCCUGAAUCUCUCCCAUUUAUUUGCCCCCCUUCCAAUUGGCUCUGCCUCCUGCUACUCCAAGCCAAGAGGGGCCAGACUUGGGGCUGCAGAUGCAAUCAACAAGAAGACUCACAAAUAUAAAAAAUAUACUUGUAAUGCAUUCAAACAAACAAACAGGCAAGGCAAAUACAAUGCAAAAAGGACAGAGAGCAAUAGUACUACUGAAAAACCUGUGUGAGAUCCAUUUUAACCAUUUCAGCAAUGUCUCAAUUAGUCUUGGAAGGUAUUCUAAACCAACUUUUUGAGGAAUGUUUUCAAACAACUUCUUGUGUCUCAGUGACUGGUAAGCAGUGCCGGAUUUAUGUAUAAGCCAAACAAACUAUAGCUUUGGGCCCCACUCUCUUGGGGCCCCCCCGAAAAAAGUAAAGAAAAAGAAACCUGGAUGCACAUUUCCAAAAUAUAAGAUAAAAAACAAAUAAAAUAAAACCUACAUACAGCAACAGUGGUAAAUGACUUUAGUUACCUAUUAGGUCCAUAAAUUACCACCUAGCAUAUAUUCAACACAAAAAACAGUGACAAUUUGUUGUUGCCAAAGGACAGCUGGACAUAUAAAGGGCCCCAUUACCUUCAGUAGCUUAGGGCUUCAUCAAACCUAAAUCCAGCCCUGCUGAUAAGAUAUCUGUUUUGCUGUGCAGUUUUCUUAUUAUUGGCAGGAUUUUUUCUGAGACACAAACUGGAUUUUUGAAUUUGUCAUCCAUUUUUGAAUUUGUCAUCCAUUCUUUCUUCCCAGGACAAUACAAAAAUGUUGUUUAGAAUACUUUCCCCGUGACUUAGGGCAAACUGGGGCAUACUUUUUUUAAAAAAGAAGCUUAAUAAUGAAAAUGAAUCUGUAACUUGUUUUUCCAUAGUAAAGGUAGAGGUAAAGGUAAAGGUAAAGGGACCCUUGACCAUUAGGUCCAGUCGUGGCCGACUCUGGGGUUGCAGCGCUCAUCUCGCUUUAUUGGCCGAGGGAGCCGGCAUACAGCUUCUGGGUCAUGUGGCCAGCAUGACUAAGCCAUUUCUGGCGAACCAGAGCAGCGCACGGAAACGCCGGAGCGGUACCUAUUUAUCUACUUGCACUUUGACAUGCUUUCAAACUGCUAGGUUGGCAGGAGCAGGGACUGAGCAACGGGAGCUCAGCCCAUUGUGGGGAUUCAAACCGCCGACCUUCUGAUCGGCAAGCCCUAGGCUCAGUGGUUUAGACCACAGAGCCACCCUGGUACCUGUUCCAUAGUAUUGGUGCUUACUUGUCCUAUUUAUAUUAUUGUGUGUUUUCCUUUUCUAUAUGUUUAUUAGAGCACUUUACAAGUAUAAUUUGUUAUUUGUGGGUCUGAUUGUUGGUUAGUAUGAUACACAGGAACCCUCAUUAUACACUGUACUGCAAAUUUCAGGAUUGAUAGAUUUACUUUCUUUCUAGGGUUUUUUGUGUUUUUUUACUAGAACCAAUGAGCCUGGUACAAAAAACAUAUAGAUAGAACAAGGUGCCUUUGAGCACAGGCUGAACCUAAACAUUUGUGUUCAAUAUCAGAAAUGCACUGGGUUCACUAUCAUUUCAUACAAAACUCCAACCCUGAAUAUCCUUCACAUCAGCGGCAUAAUUUAGGCAGGAAAAGUCAUUGUUGUAACUGUUGUUGCUUUUCACUGGGUUUUCAUUGAAUUUUUCAAAAUAUAACAAAUGUAAAUUGCUAAACCAUUGGGAAUCAGAAACUCUUAUCAACUUACUGCAAAUCACUCGGAGAUCUACCAGGAGAUCCUGAUCUGCUACCUUCUGCCCACCCUGGAUGCAUGGUCAGUUCAAGCCCUCCCCAAUUCACCUCAAUACACUCUUCUUUAUCCAUUUGCAUUGUUAUCAAUGUGAUCCUUGCUCCCAUACAAGCCUAUGUAGGCAAAUAGUUAAGGAAGUGGAUUGAGACUAGUAUUGUAAUGCCAUUACAGUACAAUCGUGUCUUGUGCACAUUUAACUUACCUGAUUUCAACAGUAUACAGUUGAAGUCUGGCUGGUUAAAAUCCUGCAAGUUAAAUGCAGAGCCAACUUGAGGAGAGGGUCCUUUAUGCACCAGAUUUUCCCAGCAUAAAAGAACUUUGCUUCCCAAACAAAGGUCUCUCCCCUCGCUAGGAAUCUGUUGCUCCCCUUGAGAUCUUGUGGGAACUUAGGCAGCCCCACACGAUCUCAUGAGAGCAUCCUGGAGCUUUUGGAGCUGAUGCUCCAGAUGUUCUGGAAGCCCGAGGAUGCUCACACAGGGGUUCGGUUCCAAGUGUUUGAGUAUAUGCAUUUUUGAGGAACUCUUGCAAGAGAACCCCUGCGUAAGACACAAUAAUACUGUACUUAAAGGGCUUUCUAUGCCUCUAUGAACCUGCUAGGGGUUUGAGAUCAGCUACAUAGGCCUUGCUUGUAUGCACAAAGAAAAUGAGCUCAGGGUGGCAGGGCCUUUUCUGUGGUGGCUCCAUGGCUAUGAUAAUAAUUUCCCCAAUAUAUAUGAUCCUACCUGGGAUGAUUUAGGUGGGUUCUAACAACAUUUUUUGCUUUUAGUGAGAGAGUUAAAUAAGCAGUAGCCUCCAUAUUUAGUCUUAUGAUUUGAAGUGUUGGUCUCUCAAGCUCAAAAAAAGAAAGAAAGAAAGUGGUAUCACAUCAUUCAAAAGAUGCAGAAAAGGACAAUCAAAAUAAUGGUGGGAUUCAGGUACUUUUUUGUACACAGAAAAGCCAGCACUGUUUUUAGUUUAGACAGGAUGGUGGAAGGGAAAUGAGAGAGAUUUUUAAAUUACACACAGUGGACAAAGAAAGGAUAGAGAGACCACUUUCUUUGUCCCUCAGUUCAUCAACAGAUGAUAGCUGACCAAAAAAAGUAUUAAUUCACACAACACAUAAUUCAUAAUAUUUUUAUUUGAAAGAUGUUGUCUCAAAGGACAAAUAGAAUUUAUUAUUUUAUGUGACAGAGCCAAUGAGGAUACUGGAAAAAAGAAAAUGAUCCAUUGAUUGUGAGAAUUGUGGAAUUUUGCAAAAUAAAACAAGAUUUAUUGGAUUCUGCAAAAGGGGAAUAAUGUAUUAAUGGAGGAAGGUUGCAGAGUGCAGACCACCAGAGAGAUGUUUUCAUAGCCUGAAAGCAAAUACACUCACAAAGACACCUUGGCCACCUCAAUGGUAAGGCAAGUGCAAACAGAACCAUGCACUCCUCUCACUCUCACUCUCACUCUCACUGCUGUCAAGCAAUGGCACAGGGCACAGUUGGGACCUGAUUUCUGUGCCACUGACAAUAGAGGGGGUGAACAAAGGUUUGUAUUGCCCCUUUGCACCCAGCAUGUAUAACUAAGGAACCAGCAGAAAUACAGGUGCUUUGGAGUAGUAGUCAAAUGGGGUCUGAAACACAGGGGUAUGGAGCUGAUUCUUUGACACCACUCCGCAUAUGACUGCAGGCUAAGAAAGAAAGAACAGCAUAUGCACCUCAGGCUAUGUUUUCACCAGACCCGCCCUUAACUGGCACCUCUGCAGCCACCACCAUACAUACAAGUAUGAAAGAGCCGCAUGCAAGUUUCCCUAAAUACCUCUCAGAUCUGCUUUGUUUUUGUGCUCAUACCAGAGAAUCUAGUCAAUCAUCCAGGCUUUGGAAGGCUCUAAAAUAAAUGCCCAUUUUGAGUAGUUUAACCGAUGUCCAAGUCAGGAAGAAGAGACCACUGGGAAUACGAAGAUGCUGUACACCAGGCACCCACAUAUUACAGGCUGUUCAAAUAAAACUAUUAGGAAGUAUAAAUCUUAGCGCCUAAGGACCAAGGAGCUUAACCUGCUUUUAAAACAUUUAACAAGUGUCAGUACAUAAAAGUUGCUCGCGAGCAAACAGAAACUAGCUGCAGGGCGUUUGGAAUGUACCCUACUGCUUUUAUUUGAAAGAUUAAUUGUCCUUUUACGAUACAUCGCUACCCCUGCUAUUUAUGAUCUGUGUUUCGCAAUGAAAAACCCCAGGAGUUGCAGGAAUAAGAUGGAUGUUGCAUUAUUAAAGCCGAGCAGAAGCUUGGCCAGAGCACUUCCGCAUGUGUCACUCAACGUGUGUGUGAUCCUCUCGUUUUAUGAUUGCUUCCCGCUUGUGGUUCCGGCAUCUUUUACUGCUGUCAGUCUGCUCCCUGAAGUACCGCAGUGGCACAAAUCCCUUUCCAACGCCUGGCAGUUGUGCCAACAGAGCAGUCUGAGCACCACAGCAUGAUGUGCCCAAUAUAAUUAGAAGCUGUUUAUAUAUAGCUUAAGUUGUUGGUUUUAGAGCCAUGUUUUUAUCUUUAAGUGGCAUAGCUGCGAUCUGCAAAGAGGAGCCUCAGAUACUGUACAGAUGGUUAUCGGGUACAAAUCUUCUCCAUCACCUUAUGCCAUCCAGCACACUCCAAUAAUUUAAGGGGAGCCUCAUGGAGUCACUGAAAGCUAAUAAACACUUCUUCCUUCCUCUA